rnacentral:rRNA from 1 species
UGAGGAAUAUUGGUCAAUGGGAGAAAUCCUGAACCAGCCAUGCCGCGUGCAGGAAGACGGCUCUACGAGUUGUAAACUGCUUUUGUACCGGGGUAAACGGCCUUACGAGUAGGGUUUUGAAAGUACGGUACGAAUAAGGAUCGGCUAACUCCGUGCCAGCAGCCGCGGUAAUACGGAGGAUCCGAGCGUUAUCCGGAUUCAUUGGGUUUAAAGGGUGCGUAGGUUGUUUUAUAAGUUAGCGGUGAAAUACCGAUGCUCAACAUCGGGGCUGCCGCUAAUACUGUAGGACUUGAGACGGGAUGCAGCAGGCGGAAUGUGUAGUGUAGCGGUGAAAUGCAUAGAUAUUACACAGAACACCGAUUGCGAAGGCAGCUUGCUAGGCCCGUUCUGACACUGAUGCACGAAAGCGUGGGUAUCGAACAGG